rfam:Triticum aestivum genome assembly, contig: Triticum_aestivum_CS42_TGACv1_scaffold_003118_1AL
UAACUACUCCCUCCGUCCGGAAAUACUUGUCAUCAAAAUGGAUACGGAGAUACUUGUCAUCAAAAUGGAUAAAAGAGGAUGUAUCUAGACGUAUUUUAGUUCUAGAUACAUCUCUUUCUAUUCAUUUUGAUGACACAAGUAUUUUCGGACGGAGGGACUAUUAU